AGUACAAAGCCUUGGUAAAGAGGGAGGAUCAAGAAAGAUCUAGCAUGAAGUUAGAACCAGAGUUAUGGAUCUAGGGAAUCAGAAUCAUGAGGCUGAAAGGAACUUGGGAGUUACUUUUGUUGCUUUAGAUUAAGGUAGUUCUUAACUCUAGACAGGUGAAAUAUCUUUACAUGCUCAUUAUGAACUGCUUCCCAGAAGUUAAAAAAAAUGAAAUGCACUUCUACUCCUGUAAGGCAUCCUGGGCUACAUAAUUUCCCCUCCUCUCUGCUGACUUUAGCUGCUUCUUCUGUCAAAUGAGGUUUUGGAAUCACUAGUCUCUAAAAUCCUCUAGAUUUAGAAAGGACCUCAACCCAAACUGCAGAGAGAUUAAAAAAAAGUCACAUAAAAAGGAAAUGAUGGAAGUUGGAGUUGAAUGUGGCUCCUCUGGCUUUUAAGCCAGUGGAAAGAUAAUGGACCCAAGAAUCACGCAUCCUGAAGGCUUUGCCCACUGAACUGUGAAAACACAACUUUGCUGUUCAACUCUGCUGGAGCUCAUGGCUUAUCAGUUUUCAUUUUUGAGAAAGGUAGUUCCUUAGCCACAGAGAGUCCUCAGAAGUGAUUUUUCCAAUUUGUAUAGCAUUUCUACAUGUUUCUGCCUCUCCAUAACCUCCCUCUCAAAGGACAGCUCCCUCUUACUACCUCAGCUGUCAUAUCCCUGGAGUCAUUAUGACAAAGCUAAAGGAGCUCCCAAAUCAUAGCAGCCAGCCAUAUAUAAAGGGAGAGCCCUGUCAGAUUGGGCUGCUUUACACCAACAAAUUUGUGAGGGGGUGGUAAGGAAAACUGGGGCAGCAGAGGAAGCCUCCCCUUCGACAAGGACUUCAUCACAGAACAAUGAAGUAAAGAUGCCAAGUUUCAGAGACUACAUGUUCGGCUAUCCCUCUAAUAAUGAGAACUCUACUCAGAAAAAACAUUUAUCUCUCUGGGGGGGGAAAGUUAAAAGACAUCGGAAAAGAAAAAUAGGAAGGCAAGUAUGAACUUAAGAGUCUCUAAGAAGUCCUUCAAUAGCAACCUGUUAGAAUCCGCUCUUCUCCAUAUGUUGUUUUCUUCAGGUGUCUACAAACAACCGGAAACCACCAUGAUCAUCUGCUUUCCACCUCACCAUUUUCUGUAAAUAAACUUGCCUUCCCCUCCCUGUC